rnacentral:misc_RNA from 1 species
UCCGGCUUUCACCGGCUGUCUCAUUAGAGUGCCCAACUUAAUGCUGGCAACUAAUGAUAAGGGUUGCGCUCGUUGCGGGACUGAACCCAACAUCUCACGACACGAGCUGACGACAACCAUGCACCACCUGUCUCCUCUGCCCCGAAGGGACGAUAUAUCUCUACAUCCGUCAGAGGGAUGUCAAGCCCUGGUAAGGUUCUUCGCGUUGCUUCGAAUUAAACCACAUGCUCCACCGCUUGUGCGGGCCCCCGUCAAUUCCUUUGAGUUUCAGCCUUGCGGCCGUACUCCCCAGGCGGAGUGCUUAAUGUGUUAACUUCGGCACUGAGGGUGGAGACCCCCAACACCUAGCACUCAUCGUUUACGGCGUGGACUAC